GGUGGAAGGUGGCUGGUUCUUUGGGGUGGGGAGUUUGCUGGGCUCCUGCUGAUCUUUCGCGAAGGAAGGUAUCUCGAUGAAUUUCUGCCACUGCUCCUUAGAUGUAUUUUCACUGGGCUUCGAGUGGGACUUCGCCUGGCUUGAAUAGCUGGACUUUUGCUGAAGCCUUUUCUGACCGGGCUUCUACUCUGACUUCUAACGGGGCUUAAGCUAACAUUUCGUCUUGCAGGGCUUCUGCUUAGCUUGCUGCUCCUCGGAGGAGGUUGAACAGGGCUUCUAAUAGAACUUUGUGGAGGGGGGCUCCUGCUCUCAGACCUUUUGGGAC
rnacentral:misc_RNA from 1 species